GAACGGACACAAUUCUAGCGGAUUAAAAAGGAAGCGAGAUGUACGGAGGAGUCCAGUACAAGUCCAACCUGGGCCCCUCCUACCAAUCAGAGCAAAAAGUUUAAAAGACAAAAGCGAAGGCGUGCUUCCGGAGCAGUCUCCAGGAGACCGGCCACUGUAAGUCACGCCAAGAAAGCAUAAGGGUGAGUAAAUACAUUUGGUGUUCGACGGAGGUAAUUCGUGCGCCUUUCGUGGAGAGCAUCGCACGAUCCAUUAAAUGACAAG
rnacentral:lncRNA from 1 species